UACAGAGGAUGCAAGCGUUAUCCGGAAUUACUGGGCGUAAAGAGCUCGUAAGUGGUUUGUCGCGUUGUCCGUGAAAACUCACAGCUCAACUGUGGGCGUGCGGGCGAUACGGGCAGACUGGAGUACUGCAGGGGAGACUGGAAUUCCUGGUGUAGCGGUGGAAUGCGCAGAUAUCAGGAGGAACACCGGUGGCGAAGGCGGGUCUCUGGGCAGUAACUGACGCUGAGGAGCGAAAGCGUGGGGAGCGAACAGG
rnacentral:rRNA from 1 species